AUAAUAUAUUUUGUAAGGUCCAAAAUACUCUCAUAUAAUUAUUGCUUAUUUCUGGCAGGUCUGUUACGUUCAUUAAAAACAUCAGAACAAGAGUUGAUUCUUAUGGAACAUCACCAGUGACUCUUAAAGGUUUCUCCCAAACAGGUGUAGAGAACGGCGCAGAACAAGAUGACCGUGUCAGCGGUGGUCAUCGUGGUGGUGAUGGUUGUGGGUUGUGCCACCUUGACACACGCUGGCGAUAUAAUUGGCACUUCGCUGUUAGAGUCAUACAAGACUGUGCUGCUGGAGCAAGAUGUGACGAUGCCCAGGGAAGAACUGAUCACAAUCCUCUCGUCCUUCGUAGAAAACCUCCGUGUACGACAAAUAAUCAACGAUGACAGCACUUGGUUCUUUAUCAGAGGCAACUUAAUCUCAGCUAUCCACCUCCUAUCUUCCAGCGAAAGUGCUGCUGUUGCUGCUGCCCGUCAAAUUGUCCGGUUCACCUUCAGAUGUUUUGGUCCGCCUUUACAGACGACAUUGUAAACGAGAGAAACUUAGGAAUUGGAGCAGCGCUGUAUAGCCCUUGUGGUUUAGCGCUUCUUUUUUAUUAUAAUAAUAAUUAGGAAUUGGAUGCAAGAUCUAGUGCCUUUCAUGCAGCAUUUUCUCGCUCUUAUUUUCAUUAACAUAGACGUUGAUCUAUAAUGCAACAUAUCAAUAAUUUUCCAAAUUUGAUACGAUGUAAUGAGGAAAGAAGUAAAAAAAGAAAUUUCUCGAAAUUUAUGCUAUGAGAAUGUAAUAAUACCCAGUCACUCGGCCUAGGGAUCUUCUAUAUAAACACGUGGAUAUACAACACAUGUAAGUGGAUCAGCAACUAUGCUGACAUAUAAAGUACUUCCAGUUAUGUGCAGACUUAUGUUAAACAUCUUCACAUUGGUGAGAAAUGCAAUGAAAGUAAAAGAUUUUGCCUCGGUACAAAAGCUGAGAAAGGAGGUCUCGGAUGAGUUUGCUAGAGUACCUAAAAAGAACAACCACAGACGCCCACGCAUGCGCCCGUCCACGCACACACUCGCGCACAUACGCUCACACAAGCUGAUAAACACCUCACUUUUUUAUUAGGCCAAACUUUUCCUAUUUUACAUUUUCUUGGCAACAUUUUUUUUUCGUUGUCUUGGAAAGGAAUAAACCUACAAUUACAAGGAAACAUUUGAGAUGCAAAUACUUUUCAAAGAUAUGGUGAAAAAAAAAGACUAGACCAAAAUUUCAUUUGAAAUUUUAUAUUUGAGCGAGUUUCAAAAAUUUCCAGCGAAAAAUAUAUCAUGCUUGUCUCUAUCAAAGUAUGAAGAGACUAAAUAUUUUCAGUGCAGUCAGAAAAUAGGUCCCAAAUUCUUAUAGGAAUUGUAUAGUUACUCUGAAUACUCGUAUUAUUAUUAUUAUUAUUAUUAUUAUUAUUAUUAUUAUUAUUAUUAUUAUUAUGAUUAUUAUUAUUAUUAUUAUUAUUAUUAUUAUUAUUAUUAUUAUUAUUAUUAUAUACGUGAUUUUUAAUUAAGUUGUAGAGUAUUUUUAUAUUUAAUUUCCUUCGUGGGAGUUUGUUUAAUUGCUACGAAGGGUUUUGAUUCGAGGAACUGGAGUUAUCAUUAGAGCUUCCCAUGAAUAUAAUAAAAAUUAUAUUUACUACAUAUAUUUUUCUAGUCAACUAAUGCCAAAAUUAUUUAGUUUUGUAUUUUGUAUUCAGAUCAGUAACAUUAUAAUUGUGUUCCUUAUUGUCUAAAUUAAUAAUAAUUUGCUUAAUUGAUUUUUAUUAUUAAAAUAAUGGUGCACAACAUCGACAAUGUAGGUAUAAGGUUCGUCAGGAAACAGUGUUUCCUGACGCAGGUCUUAGUCACAUGAUGCCCCGCAGCUGGAGCUUUUGGUCAUCUGACCGAGGCCUUCGGCUGGGUUACCCGCUCACCCCUUUAAAUAUUAUAGUCACUUCUACAAGAUGAUGAAUUAGACACGUGUAACAUCCGGAUGUAUUUAUGUGACUUCAUCAGAGGUAUUUUUGCGUUUUUAAUUAAUCCACCGGUUGGCGAAAAGUUCUCAAAUAAACAUUACUCAGGUACUGCACGUGUGUUUUAUUUUUUUGAGCUUUGCUGGAAAAUUAGACUAAGUUAUAUAUUUCAGUCUUUACCCUUUUGUUUUUUUGACUUGACACUGCACUUGCUUCUCUUUUUAUUCACUGAAUGAAAUUUAUAUUAAUCAUUUUGUACACAU